rnacentral:lncRNA from 1 species
UUUGCUGCAAUCCCAUGUUUGUGCACCACUCUCAAUCAUCAUAUCUGGCCCGAAAUUGAAUGAACAUCCAAGUCUUCUUUCACUGACAAUCCUAUAACAUCUUUAAGAGUAAAGCUCUAAAGAUAAAGGAGAAAGAAAAAAAUCAAGGGAUUUAACAUGUUAGCAUAACAAACCUGGAUUAUAGAAAAUGACAAUAAAUUCCAAUUAUUCUCAACACUUAAGCUAAUUAAGUGACCUGAACACAUACAACAGAAGAUAUUACCAUCAUCAUAAAUUACCAAAAGGUACAUCAAAAUUCUCUAUCUAGAUAUUUAUUGAACCCCAAUACAAUAAAGUAAAAUCAAUUGCAUUAAGAAACUUAUCUCACAACAGACUAUUGUUAACUGUUAAGGAGCAAUAUAUUCUAUUUCACACCAUCUAGACAUUUAUUAGAAGCAUAAGAUGACAAUAUCUAUAUUAUCUCAAAUAACUUACAUCACUGGUGAAGAAGCUUUGAGCGUUGAUGGUUCGUUUGAAACCGAUCUAACUUUCAAUGUUUACAGAAUUUCUCUAACCCUUUCUAAGCUCAUCCAUCGAAUUCGUCUCCUUCACUCUUUCUUUGUCUUCUUCCUUUACUGGUUCUAUGUUUUCUCAUUGAUAUCAUCUCAACCUUAUGCUAACUCAAUUAAUCUCAUUUUAUUACAAUUCAGUCUCUCAGACCCUAAUUUCUCAUCAUAUUUUCUCUAUUUCAACAAAUCAUUCAUUCAAAUUUCUUAAGUUAAGAAGAAAAGUAGAACAAGAAGAAGACCUAACCUAUGGCUUCGAUUCAACGUGCUACUAUGAUUUCAGGUUCAGAAGGUGGAGAUCCUGCUACCAUCAAAUCGCGAAUCCGCGAGGAGAUAGAAGCUUUAGGAAGACUUAAUUGAGGAAGUGAAUUGAUUGCAAGGAGAAAGUUGAGACAAUAUAGAAGCUAAAAGCGGUGAU